AUUUUUNACAAUGGGGGAAACCCUGNUGGAGCGACGCCGCGUGGGGGAUGAAUGGCUUCGGCCCGUAAACCCCUGUCAUUCGGGAUCAAUGCCUAUUAUUUAAAAGCUGAUAGGUUGAUAGUACCGGAAGAGGAAGGGACGGCUAACUCUGUGCCAGCAGCCGCGGUAAUACAGAGGUCCCAAGCGUUGUUCGGAUUUACUGGGCGUAAAGGGUGCGUAGGUGGUUGGGUAAGUUUGAUGUGAAAUCUCCGGGCUUAACCCGGAAAAUGCAUUGAAUACUAUCCAGCUUGAGGAUUGGAGGGGGGACUGGAAUGCUCGGUGUAGCAGUGAAAUGCGUAGAUAUCGAGCGGAACACCAGUGGCGAAGGCGAGUCCCUAGACAAUUCCUGACACUGAGGCACGAAAGCCAGGGGAGCAAACGGGAUUAGAUACCCCGGUAGUCCUGGCCCUAAACGGUGCACGUUUGCUGUAAAAGGAAUCGACCCCUUUUGUGGCGUAGCUAACGCGUUAAACGUGCCGCCUGGGAAGUACGGUCGCAAGAUUAAAACUCAAAGAAAUUGACGGA
rnacentral:rRNA from 1 species